CUGGGCACAGCUGGGCACGGAAGCGUGGGGCGGCGGCGAGUCCCCGCUCGUCGCGUCCGCCCCCGGCUGGGGCCUCGGUUCCUGCCCCUACGGAAAUGCCGCCCGUGGCACCACCCAUCUCUCGCUCGGUUUGCCGGCCUGUGCAAUGGGUCGAGGCCGUGCGCCACCGGACCCAGAAAAGGGCGUUUCUUCAGCACGCACUGUCAAGCGCCUCCUGCGUGCAGGGAGCGCGAGUGGAGGGCGCCGGCCCGGGGCUAGAAAGCCAGCACUUGCUGGACACUUUGAAUCGUACUCCUGGGCUGAGGCCCAUUCCCACUGGGCUAGCUUCUCGAGCCCUACCUCGUGCGGAGGUCAGGAGGACCCUGCGUACACCUACUGUGUGCCAGCUGCCGUUGAGCGUCCCGGGGAGGAGAAACGUCGAGCCAGAUCCCCAGGACCUCUUGUUCUCCCGAGGGAGAAGACAGUAAACUGAGGAGAAUGACCCUAAGCGUCGCUAUAAGAUUUGGGUCUCUCUGGCUCCACGCAAGGAAUGGACCCAGUGACCGUGCAGAGGCAGGACACCAGGGACAGGUGCUGAAAUAGCCCAGGGUCCCAGCCUUGACCUCCGCGAACCCAUUCGAUCAUCACAACAUCGCAGAAAGAUGAGAACUGUUAUCACAUCUAUUCAUGGAUGGGGAAACUGAGGCCCAUCGAGGUGAAAUCACUUGCCUGGGAUCACACAGGAGGCAAGCUGCAAAGGCAGGAUUUGACCCCAGGCAGUCAAGUCCAAGGCUCGUGCUUUUAACCACUCUACUGUCUCAUGAGGAGCUCACCACUGACGGUACACAGACCCUCUCAACCACCUGCUGAGGUGCGAACUAAGAUCAUCCUCCCUUAACAGCGGACAAACCUGAGGCUCAGAGAGGCAGCCGCUGACCCCAGGUCCCACAGCCAGGAGGAGGAAGAGCCAAGGUUCAAGUCAAGAUGUGUUUGGUUCCAGAACCAAGCUUGGCCUCACCGGGCCAGCGCUCCCCAGGUGAUUCUGAUUAAGUGGCCAGGUGGAGAACCCCUGAGCGGGGCAGUGAGUUCUGGGAAGAGUGUGCUGGCUUUGGGGCCAGCCGACGCCUGCACCGCCUUGUGGCCUGCCUCCUCAUCUCUGACACGGAGGGGGUAGCACUCCCUGCCCCGCCCCCCGGGUUUCAGGAGGGGGACACUCCUGCAAAUCCCACAGGUACCAGCAGCGGCCACGCUGUUAGUCCCCGGACUGAGGGCCGGGGGCCACCCUGCUCCUUCUCCCAGCUCCCCGGGGGAGAGACAAGUCCCCGGCUUCCUAGCACAGAGCUUGAGAUGCGCUGCAGAAGACCCCUCGGGGACAGUCGGAGGCCACAGCGUGCGGGUGCAGAGCCAGAAACCCGUCCCGCACAAACACGCGUGUCCACAGGUAUGCGACACCGCUGACCCCUGCCGUGCAGCUCACGACAGCGAAAGCCAGGAAACAAGCCUGAUAACGGUAACAGCUGAUGUGUGUUUACAGCAGGAUUUCUCAACUCAGAACUAUUGACACUGGGACCGGAUCACUCUUUGCGGCGGCGGGAGUCUGACCCGCGCGCGCAUUGUAGACUGUUAGCAUCCCUGGGAUCGGUAGCACAGCCCCCCGUCCCGGUUGCCACGUGUCCCCUGGGGGGCGAAACCCCUCCCCUGGCUGAGAAGCUGGGCUCCACAGCUGGCUCUGUGCAGGGCCCUGGUGCACACACUUCAGGGAAGCCGCCUCCUCCUGCAGCCCCUCCCAGCUGGAGACAGUUUCACUGUGCAGAGCAGGCAGAACUGAAAAGGACCACUGGUGUCACCCUGGCAGUUUACCCAGCUCUGCAAGGGAUGCGUCAGAGCCGGGGGCCCACGUCUAUCAGAACGCAAGCCUGGUUCUCGCCCCUCGGCCCGUUACCCACAAGUCCACCUGGAUGUCAUUACCUGAUGCCUGCUGUGUACCAGCACUCCACUGGGUGUGGGGGACCCAGGCAUGCCCGGCCCUGUCUCCUGGAACUCACGACACAGGGGGAAGGCAGAGGGUCAUCAGAUCAGUACACAAAUACAUCAUCACCAACGUGGGUCAGCGCUAAGAAGAAAAGAUGCCUGGUGCCCAGACGUCAAGGAAUAGAAGAAGCCUGCGAGGGUAGACUCCAGAAUGUCGAAGGAGUCGUAAGAUUUCAGCACCGUUGAGGGACAUUUGAAAUUGGCAACCCACGGAUUCACGGAGCAAGUCUUUUCUGAGCACCUACCGUGUACCAGACCCCGUCCUUGGUGCCGAGGUCCAGCAGAGGAGCACGAGCCCCUCCUGGGUCGUCAGGAGCUAACACUCUAGUGGGGGAAAGUGGACCAUAAACAAGAAAGAAGACCAGGGUCAUUUCAGACGGUGGCAAAUGUGGCUGUGAGGAGGUGGAAGGGCUGUUACAGAGAGGUGUCCGAGAGGGGCUUUCUGAGGAGGUGAAGCCUGAAGGGUGACAAGGAACCAGCCUUGGGAAGAGGCAGAGUGAAAGGUUCUAGGUAGAGGCAACAGUGUGUGCAAAGGCCCUGAGGCAGGCGUUUGCAUGGACCGUUGAGGCACAGCAGGGAGGCCUGUGGCUGGAGCCAGGUGAGGGCGCAGGAGAGGAAAAGGAGAUGAGGUAGAAGAUGUGUCAGGGCUUUGCAUGUACUUGGGGGGCGGGGGGGGGUGUCAAGGGGGUAUCUUGAGCAGAAGGGACACAGGUUAGGUUCUAACAGGAUCCCUUUAGAGGCAGUGGUCAGCUGAAUGAUGUCCCCCAAAGCUGCCCACAUCUUAAUCCCCCAAACCUGUGAAUGUUAACUUUCUUAGGCAAAAAGGAAUUUCACAGCUGUGACUUAGUUACGGAGCUUGAGGUGGGAGAUUGCCCUGGAUUAUCUGAGUGUGCUCAGUAGAAUCAGAGGAGUCCUUGUAAGAUGGAAGCUG